ACGAACGCUGGCGGCGUGGAUAAGACAUGCAAGUCGAACGAGAGAAUUGCUAGCUUGCUAAUAAUUCUCUAGUGGCGCACGGGUGAGUAACACGUGAGUAACCUGCCCCCGAGAGCGGGAUAGCCCUGGGAAACUGGGAUUAAUACCGCAUAGUAUCGAAAGAUUAAAGCAGCAAUGCGCUUGGGGAUGGGCUCGCGGCCUAUUAGUUAGUUGGUGAGGUAACGGCUCACCAAGGCGAUGACGGGUAGCCGGUCUGAGAGGAUGUCCGGCCACACUGGAACUGAGACACGGUCCAGACACCUACGGGUGGCAGCAGUCGAGAAUCAUUCACAAUGGGGGAAACCCUGAUGGUGCGACGCCGCGUGGGGGAAUGAAGGUCUUCGGAUUGUAAACCCCUGUCAUGUGGGAGCAAAUUAAAAAGAUAGUACCACAAGAGGAAGAGACGGCUAACUCUGUGCCAGCAGCCGCGGUAAUACAGAGGUCUCAAGCGUUGUUCGGAAUCACUGGGCGUAAAGCGUGCGUAGGCUGUUUCGUAAGUCGUGUGUGAAAGGCGCGGGCUCAACCCGCGGACGGCACAUGAUACUGCGAGACUAGAGUAAUGGAGGGGGAACCGGAAUUCUCGGUGUAGCAGUGAAAUGCGUAGAUAUCGAGAGGAACACUCGUGGCGAAGGCGGGUUCCUGGACAUUAACUGACGCUGAGGCACGAAGGCCAGGGGAGCGAAAGGGAUUAGAUACCCCUGUAGUCCUGGCAGUAAACGGUGCACGCUUGGUGUGCGGGGAAUCGACCCCCUGCGUGCCGGAGCUAACGCGUUAAGCGUGCCGCCUGGGGAGUACGGUCGCAAGAUUAAAACUAAAAGAAAUUGACGGGGACCCGCACAAGCGGUGGAGUAUGUGGCUUAAUUCGAUGCAACGCGAAGAACCUUACCUGGGCUUGACAUGUAAUGAACAACAUGUGAAAGCAUGCGACUCUUCGGAGGCGUUACACAGGUGCUGCAUGGCCGUCGUCAGCUCGUGUCGUGAGAUGUUUGGUUAAGUCCAGCAACGAGCGCAACCCCUGUUGCCAGUUACCAGCACGUGAAGGUGGGGACUCUGGCGAGACUGCCCAGAUCAACUGGGAGGAAGGUGGGGACGACGUCAGGUCAGUAUGGCCCUUAUGCCCAGGGCUGCACACGUACUACAAUGCCCAGUACAGAGGGGGCCGAAGCCGCGAGGCGGAGGAAAUCCUAAAAACUGGGCCCAGUUCGGACUGUAGGCUGCAACCCGCCUACACGAAGCCGGAAUCGCUAGUAAUGGCGCAUCAGCUACGGCGCCGUGAAUACGUUCCCGGGUCUUGUACACACCGCCCGUCACAUCAUGGAAGCCGGUCGCACCCGAAGUAUCUGAAGCCAACCGCAAGGAGGCAGGGUCCUAAGGUGAGACUGGUAACUGGGAUG
rnacentral:rRNA from 1 species